AAACCAUGGUGGGGGCACCUUCUAAGGAGAUCCUUGAAUCUCUCAUAAGCUUCAAAACAAUGUUUUCGGACUCCCCUUGUUUAAAGGCUGAAAUUUCUUGCCUCAACUU